UCCCUGAUGGUCUAGUGGCUAGGAUUCGGCGCUCUCACUGUCGCAGCCCGGGUUCUAUUCCUUGUCAGGGAA
rnacentral:tRNA from 1 species